AGAACGAACGCUGGCGGCAUGCUUAACACAUGCAAGUCGAACGGAUAGCUUGCUAUCAGUGGCGCACGGGUGAGUAACACGUGGGAACCUACCUUUUAGUUUGGGAUAACUUUGGGAAACUAAGGCUAAUACCGGAUACGCUUUGCAGCUUGGCGCUGUAAAGGAAAGAUUUAUCGCUAAAAGAUGGGCCCGCGGUGGAUUAGCUUGUUGGUGGGGUAAAGGCUUACCAAGGCAACGAUCCAUAGCUGGUCUGAGAGGAUGAUCAGCCACACUGGGACUGAGAUACGGCCCAGACUCCUACGGGAGGCAGCAGUGGGGAAUAUUGGACAAUGGGCGAAAGCCUGAUCCAGCAAUGCCGCGUGAGUGAAGAAGGUCUUCGGAUUGUAAAGCUCUUUCACGGGUGAAGAUAAUGACGGUAACCCGAGAAGAAGCCCCGGCUAACUUCGUG
rnacentral:rRNA from 1 species